GUUCACCUUUGGACGUCCAGCAGUGAUUAAACUAGCAGCAUGGCAGGCCCCCAGGUUCUGAUCUUUGCGGCUUUAUUGGGCUGUGUCUUGGCAGUGCCACCUAUCGACCCACCGUAUGGACCGGCCCCGGCUCCUUCAGUGUAUUCUUACCGGUGGUCCGUGAACCCGCCAGCAUCGGCUUACAAUAAUCUGAAUCCAGCUGAGGCAGAAG